rnacentral:rRNA from 1 species
CCUACGGGAGGCAGCAGUGGGGAAUUUUUGGACAAUGGGCGCAAGCCUGAUCCAGCAAUGCCGCGUGCAGGAUGAAGGCCUUCGGGUUGUAAACUGCUUUUGUACGGAACGAAACGGUCUGCCCUAAUACGGUGGGCUAAUGACGGUACCGUAAGAAUAAGCACCGGCUAACUACGUGCCAGCAGCCGCGGUAAUACGUAGGGUGCGAGCGUUAAUCGGAAUUACUGGGCGUAAAGCGUGCGCAGGCGGUUAUAUAACGACAGAUGUGAAAUCCCCGGGCUCAACCUGGGACCUGCAUUUGUGACUGUAUAGCUAGAGUACGGUAGAGGGGGAUGGAAUUCCGCGUGUAGCAGUGAAAUGCGUAGAUAUGCGGAGGAACACCGAUGGCGAAGGCAAUCCCCUGGACCUGUACUGACGCUCAUGCACGAAAGCGUGGGGAGCAAACAGGAUUAGAUACCCCUGGUAGUCCACGCCCUAAACGAUGUCAACUAGUUGUGGGUUUAUUACUAGUACGCUGNGUAAACGCGUNAACGUAGUCGACUUGGACGCGU